ACAGGGCUUGUAAUAAUUUUAACACUGU
rnacentral:piRNA from 1 species